rnacentral:lncRNA from 1 species
UCGACUAUGGAUAGAAUUCCGGAGAGCUCUUUCUUGCCACCGAAUAAAACAUCGGGAGGAACUGAAGUGAGGGGAGAUUGGUCGGAUGAAGAAGAGCAGCAGACUGUGGAGAUUUUUAUUCGGUAUCUGCAUCUGUGCCAGUGAUGAUGGUGAUGUUUUGUAGAGAGAGAGGUGUGGGGAUUUGGUGAUAAUGUUGUGAUACGGUAAGGGGUUCGAGGGUUGAGGAAUGGAGAGAAGAAGAAGGUAGUUGGGUGCGGAGAAGAAGGGUGAGUGAUGAGAAUUGAGGGGCUCAUGGUGUUUUAUUUCUUAAAUGCUCCUCCUCUGUGAUUGUUGCUUUAGGGAUACAGAAGAAACGGUACG